GAUGAAGAACGUAGCGAAAUGCGAUAAGUAAUGUGAAUUGCAGAAUUCAGUGAAUCAUCGAAUCUUUGAACGCACAUUGCGCCCGCAAGUAUUCUGGCGGGCAUGCCUGUUCGAGCGUCAUUACAACCCUCAGGCCCCCGGGCCUGGCGUUGGGGAUCGGCGGAGCCCCCCGUGGGCACACGCCGUCCCCCAAAUACAGUGGCGGUCCCGCCGCAGCUUCCAUCGCGUAGUAGCUAACACCUCGCGACUGGAGAGCGGCGCGGCCACGCCGUAAAACACCCAACUCUUCUGAAGUUGACCUCGAAUCAGGUAGGAAUACCCGCUGAACUUAAGCAAAUCAAUAAGCGGAGGA
rnacentral:misc_RNA from 1 species